rnacentral:lncRNA from 1 species
GAAUGUAUAGGGGCUGGGAUCACUUGGGGCUAGGGUUUUUAACCCUGGCUUCUGGGUGCUGGGGAUAAUUGUUUUAGGGAAAAGGGAGUAGAGAGUAAAGUAAAAUUGUGGUCUUGGUCUUCGGAGAUUAUGAUUUUGAUUGUCUUGGAAUGGAGACUCUCCAAGGAAUCACACCUUUAAACAAUUUCCCGUAUAAUUCUAAUAUGAGUACACAGUUAAGAACUAUUGCCAAGGAACUCAAUAAAAUAUAGAAGGAUUCCAAGAACUGAGCCUUGUGACAAUUAUGUGGAAGUCAGCAAAUGGAGAGGAGUCAUGAAAAUAGGUAGUGAUCAAAAAGGAGUAGAAAGUGGCAGCUUGGAAACCAAACAAAGAAAGUUUUAAAGUGGAGAGAGAGAUCAUGGGUCAAGUACAAGUGAGAAGUUCAAGGAGAUGAAUGAGAAGUGGUUACUGAAGUCAAUAUGUGGAGGUCACUAGUGACUUUCAUAUUUUUGCUCUAUGAUGGGGACAGAAUCUGAUUCAAUUGAAGAUGGCAAGUCUAGGUUACUCCAUUCAAUGUGUUCCUGAAGGGGAAUAAUAGAGGGGCUAGGAAGUAAAGAGGAAUGGGAUUUAAAUUUAGAAAUUGGAUUUACCGAUUGAGUGUUGUUGGUAAUGAACUAGUAAAGGGGAGAUGCUGAGGAUGCAGAAUGAUGACAUUGAGUACGUAAGAGGGGAGGGUGUUUGUUACAAAGCAUUGUGAGUGUGCCUGUGUGUGUGUGUGUGUGCCUGUGUGUGUGUGAGAGAGAAAGCAGUGGAGACAUUAUCCCUCUCAGUUUAUGUUACUACAUGAAAAGGGUCAUGUUUUGAGAACAUUAUCUCCUACUUUAGUUCAGCACAGAUGAGGCACUUCCCAUUUAUUUAAUUGAAAAGAAAAUCUUUCAAAUGACUGUCAGGAUUUGGCAUAGUAGAUUUAAAUUUUAGAGACCCUCACCCCAAGCAAAUAUUAUACCAUUUGGAAUGAUGUUGAACAUGCUAAAAGUUUCCAUUCAUUGUAGAAGUAUUUCAGAAAGAUAUUUCUUAGUUACAACAAUGGCACUAGAUACUGCAUAACAUCACAAUUCAAAGGAGGAAGCUUUCAGGAAAAGAUACAGAUGUGUAGGAUGUUUUCCAACAAAAACUGGCUAAUGACUCAUAAGUGUCUUAUAGCUUAUAA